GUAACCUGAGCCAUUGAUAUUGGAAUACAUGAUGGGUUCAAUGAUGUCCUGUCUCACCAAAAAGCUCAGAUGUCUUUCACCUUGAAAGUUUCUAAUUUUUUAAUUUUCUUAAGAUUUAUUUUAUUUGAUUAAUUAUGUGUA
rnacentral:miRNA from 14 species